AACCUCUGCAAUAGGCGAAAGCUUGACAGGGUUACUCUGAGUGAUUUCCGUUAAGGAGAUCUUUUGGCACCUCUAAAAAUGGUGCAGAAUAAGGGGUGGGCAAGUCUGGUGUCAGCCGCCGCGGUAAUACCAGCACCCCGAGUGGUCGGGACGUUUAUUGGGCCUAAAGCAUCCGUAGCCGGUUCUACAAGUCUUCCGUUAAAUCCACCUGCUCAACAGAUGGGCUGCGGAAGAUACUAUGGAGCUAGGAGGCGGGAGAGGCAAGCGGUACUCGAUGGGUAGGGGUAAAAUCCGUUGAUCCAUUGAAGACCACCAGUGGCGAAGGCGGCUUGCCAGAACGCGCUCGACGGUGAGGGAUGAAAGCUGGGGGAGCAAACCGGAUUAGAUACCCGGGUAGUCCCAGCUGUAAACGAUGCAGACUCGGUGAUGAGCUGUCUUGGGCCCCCUCACCGAUGCAGGGAAGCCGACCACAGGAAUCGCAGCAAUCACAGCAUGACC
rnacentral:rRNA from 1 species